GCCAAAUUAGUUAAGUGGUAUAACGGCUGACUCGUAAUCAGUUAUCACGAGUUCGAUUCUCGUAUUUGGCACCA
rnacentral:tRNA from 2 species